rnacentral:RNase_P_RNA from 2 species
GGGGGACUCCGGGCGAUCGCCUCGAACAUGCGUUUCGUGUUCGGGGAGGAAAGUCCGAACUCCACAGAACAGCACGCUUCUUAACGGGAAGGUGUCGAGCCCUCUCCCCUCACAGGGAGGGGGUAAGACAACGGAAAGUGCAACAGGAAGACACCGCCGAUGGCUGCAUUUCGGUGCGGCACAGGUAAGGGUGAAAUGGCAGGGUAAGAGCCUACCAGCGGCUGGGUGACCAGCCGGCUCGGCAAACCCCGUGCGGAGCAAGAUCAAGCAGAGAUGGAAGGCGCUUCGGCGCCGGAUGGCUGUUCGUCACUUCCGCUUCGGCGGUACCAUCUCGGGUAGAUCGCUUGAGGUCUGCGGCAACGCAGAUCCCAGAUAAAUGAUCGCCUCCUUCGGUUUCGCAGCCGAAGAAGACAGAAUUCGGCUUAUAGGAGUCUCCCAGUG